rnacentral:lncRNA from 1 species
AUAUAUAUAUUCACUUGUACACAAGCACUUGGGAAAUGUGAAUCGUCUCCACCUUCUUCAGGAUACUGAAGCUGAAAUUAGGCGUUUUACACAAUUCCACAAGAAGAGCUGAGUGUGUGGGAUUGUAAGCUGGAGUAUAUGCCGGGCAUGAAAGUGUUGUGCUCUUGACGUAGAUUCUCAAGACUCGUGUGUACUGCCUAUUUCACUAUGAAAUACUGGGGGUAGAAUUUUCCAUGUUUUAUUUAACAAGCAUUGUAUAAAAAUAUUCUUGGUAUUUUCUUUAUUAUAAUAUAAAGAGUGUUUGAAGUUCUAAUUUUCAAAAUACAGAGAUGUGUAAUAUUAUAUUUUAGAUUUGAGUUUUAAUGGUUUUGCAGUAUUACCAAAGUUCUAAAGGUGUAUGUGCUAUAGGUUAAGUGAUUCUCUAUAAUAUAUUUACAACAGAUUAGUGGUCUGUUAGGUACCUGAUUAUUUUGCAACCAAAAUAUUUUCAUUAAUUUAAUAGUCUUAUAGUGUUGCACAGAGCUGAGGACUUUGGUCUUUUUCUAUUUCUUGAUCAUUUUAGUGUGAGAAUCAGUAAUUAUGAAGAUUUCAUCUGCAUGUAGGAACACUGAUACCAGAAUUAUUCAUUAUACCAUAAAUAAUUUAUGAAAUAUCAUACCUUGCACACAUUCAUUAAUGUUUAAGCCACUGUAUCAUAAAGUCUUGAAAGUCAUUCUUCAUGUUCUUCAUAAUUGGUGAUCAAUCUGCCUGUGUCCUGCUAUUUUGCUACCCUUGCUCAAGGUAUUAGGUUAGGGAACAAUCAGAUGAAUAUUACUAAAUACUGUUAACAUAUGUGUCACUGCCAGUAUCAUCAACCAUUCACCUACACUGCCAUAUUCACAGGUGAGCAAUUUUAUGCUGUAGCCUAAAGGUAGAAGUGUUGAUAUUUCAGUGUUUGCAUUAGUACUUGCUGCUACCUCUAUAUCCCCACUCCUCUCCCCCCCCCCCCCCUCCUCCCCCCCCCCUCCCUCUCCCCCCCCCCCCCCUCCCCCCCCCCAUAAACUCCUUCCUUGUAAGUGGUUUUCAUGGAACCAAGUGAUGGGUGGAGUAAUAUUUGUGCCAGAUUUGGAAAAAAAACUCUGCACUAAUAUUAAUAUUCAUUCCUUACAAUUCAGUUUGUCGUAUGGGGAGUUUCCCACUCAUUAUUUGUGAUAUUUAAGUCAUUGCUCUUAUUUCAUGUGAUGCCUAUUAGUUUAUUGGCAGUUUUGUUGAUUUGUUUGGCUAUAUAUAUUAUCAACUUAAUUUAUUGUAAAUGGCCCGACAGUUAUGUGGGCACGUCUAUUGUCGAAGUAAUGUUCAGUUCAUGAAAAUGUUUUCAAACCUUUCUUACCAAUAAAUACUGUACUGAUAUUUAAUUUUGUUUGUCGACAUUUGUUAUUAGAGACCUCACUAACAUGGUCUGGGAUGUUACUGGGACCUCACUAACAUGGUCUGGGAUGUUACUGGGACCUCACUAACAUGAUCUGGGAUGCUACUGGGACCUCACUAACAUGGUCUGGGAUGUUACUGGGACCUCACUAACAUGGUCUGGGAUGUUUCUGGGACCUCACUAACAUGUCUGGGAUGUUACUGGGACCUCACUAACAUGGUCUGGGAUGUUUCUGGGACCUCACUAACAUGUCUGGGAUGUUACUGGGACCUCACUAACAUGGUCUGGGAUGUUACUGGGACCUCACUAACAUGGUCUGGGAUGUUACUGGGACCUCACUAACAUGUCUGGGAUGUUACUGGGACCUCACUAACAUGGUCUGGGAUGUUACUGGGACCUCACUAACAUGAUCUGGGAUGCUACUGGGACCUCACUAACAUGGUCUGGGAUGUUCCUGGGACCUCACUAACAUGUCUGGGAUGUUACUGGGACCUCACUAACAUGUCUGGGAUGUUACUGGGACCUCACUAACAUGGUCUGGGAUGUUACUGGGACCUCACUAACAUGACUGAGAUGUUACUGGGACCUCACUAACAUGUCUGGGAUGUUACUGGGACCUCACUAACAUGGUCUGGGAUGUUACUGGGACCUCACUAACAUGGUCUGGGAUGUUACUGGGACCUCACUAACAUGUCUGGGAUGUUACUGGGACCUCACUAACAUGGUCUGGGAUGUUACUGGGACCUCACUAACAUGUCUGGGAUGUUACUUGCCUUUGUGUGUCAUUUAAAGUCAAUGUUUGGACAGGUUUUUGGCCACUAAAUUUGGAAAAACCUCAUUAGAAAUUUAGCCCUUUACAAUUUUGUUAUGAGAAAUGUUUUAUGUGUACUAUUUUCUUUGUUUUCUCUCACUGUUUUUAGACAAUAUCUUAAUAAUGCAUAGAGAGAUUAACUUCUUAAUUGAAACACACAUUCCUCAGCAUUGAUUAUCAUGUAUUGGUAGCCUUUAUUGGAAUACCAAUUUUGUAUGCUAUGUUUCAAGGCAGAAUUUAAGCAGUGGUCCAUUUGUGUUUUUUAUCCAGGUUUGGAUGAAACAAGCUUUAUGGUGAUGUAUAGUGAACUUUUGUUUGAUUUGUAAUCUAGACACAAUCUUGAAAACUGAUAUCUAAGGCUGUAUGGAUUCCCCCCCCCCCCAAGUAAUUGAUGACUGAUGAGCUCUGAAUUUGUUGUAGUCAUCACUUUAUGCAGUAUUUUGGUCGAGAAAGGAUUGGUAUCAUUAGUGUAUUUACACAAUCUAUAAUUUACACAAUUAUUGUGACCUUGAGGGUGUUCCUUAUUUUACUUUAUAUCUUUUCAGUAUUAUAUUUAAUGCUUAUAUUAUAGUCACCAACCCCCAAUAUUAUUUAAUCUUAUAUGUUAGAUUCAAUUUCAUUUCACCAACAUUUUCAUUUUGCUCAAGCCAGCAUUCACUGCAUCUCUUAAUCACCAAGACAUUGAGUUCACAGUGUUAACCUGACAUCACUUUUGACCUUUAGAUGUCUUGCAUCUUAAAUCAUUUCAUUAAAUUUCAAGGAUCUCACAUAUCUUAGAAUUUAUAUAAAAUAGGGCAGAUAUAAAUGGUUAUAGGCUGCAACUAUUCUUUUAACUUAUUAUUUUGUGAUCCCUGUUUAAAUUGCAUUUUCUUUAGCAUCUUUGUUUUUUGUGAAAAUAUAGUUUAGCAAUUCAAUAUAUGGGUUUUUUGUAUGGCAUUAAACCAUCAUGAAGUUUG